rnacentral:tRNA from 1 species
UCCCUGGUGGUCCAGUGGGACUCUGAGCUCCCAAUGCAGGGGCCCAGGUUCAAUCCCUGGUCAGGGAA